UUGCACUAAAUGAUCUGGAAUGGUCUGUUUCUUUGCCAUUUCCGCAGGUCAAAAUGAGUGCUAGAUUAAAUAAAGUCCUGUCAUAACUGGAGUUUCUUGGCAUUUUUCUACCAAGAUGCUCUUUUAAAGCAUGACACAAAU
rnacentral:snoRNA from 1 species